GAUGAACGCUGGCGGCGUGCCUAAUACAUGCAAGUCGAGCGAACAGACGAGGAGCUUGCUCCUCUGACGUUAGCGGCGGACGGGUGAGUAACACGUGGAUAACCUACCUAUAAGACUGGGAUAACUUCGGGAAACCGGAGCUAAUACCGGAUAAUAUAUUGAACCGCAUGGUUCAAUAGUGAAAGACGGUUUUGCUGUCACUUAUAGAUGGAUCCGCGCCGCAUUAGCUAGUUGGUAAGGUAACGGCUUAACAAGGCAACGAUGCGUAGCCGACCUGAGAGGGUGAUCGGCCACCCUGGAACUGAGACACGGUCCAGACUCCUACGGGAGGCAGCAGUAGGGAAUCUUCCGCAAUGGGCGAAAGCCUGACGGAGCAACGCCGCGUGAGUGAUGAAGGUCUUCGGAUCGUAAAACUCUGUUAUUAGGGAAGAACAAAUGUGUAAGUAACUAUGCACGUCUUGACGGUACCUAAUCAGAAAGCCACGGCUAACUACGU
rnacentral:rRNA from 1 species